rnacentral:rRNA from 1 species
GAGGAAAAGAAACUAACAAGGAUUCCCCUAGUAACUGCGAGUGAAGCGGGAAAAGCUCAAAUUUAAAAUCUGGUAGUCUUUGGCUGCCCGAGUUGUAAUCUAGAGAAGCAUUAUCCGCGCUGGACCGUGUACAAGUGUCCUGGAAUGGACUAUCAUAGAGGGUGAGAAUCCCGUCUUUGACACGGACUCCCAGGGCUUUGUGAUGUGCUCUCAAAGAGUCGAGUUGUUUGGGAAUGCAGCUCUAAAUGGGUGGUAAAUUCCAUCUAAAGCUAAAUAUUGGCGAGAGACCGAUAGCGAACAAGUACCGUGAGGGAAAGAUGAAAAGAACUUUGGAAAGAGAGUUAAACAGUACGUGAAAUUGCUGAAAGGGAAACGCUUGAAGUCAGUCGCGUCGGCUGGGGAUCAACCUUGCUUCUUGCUUGGCUUACUUCCCAGUUGACGGGUCAGCAUCAGUUUUGACCAGUGGAUAAAGGUUAAGGGAAUGUGGCACCUCCGGGUGUGUUAUAGCCCUUGGUCAUAUACAUUGGUUGGGACUGA